rnacentral:lncRNA from 7 species
UGCUCACAUCCACUGUUGGUAUCCAUAAACCUUCAGCAUGUGUUAAUGAAUGUCAACGGGUGCCAUUUUUUCCACACUGAGGAAUUAAAUGACACACCUUUGCUUCAAACACACUUCCAUGUCAGACACCAUUUUGUCAGACUCUGCUGCUAUCUGUUGCAUGGCAGCAAAAUGUAUCAGAAUAUUGAUGGGAAGGUUUUAACCUCCGCUACCAAACCACCAACAUCCACGUCGGACAUCAUGGGCCAACAUCAUAAGAUAGGAGGCAUUACUUCUGGAGCAGCCUUUGUGUAUUUUGGAUGUGAGCUCGAGUCAGCAGUGCUCUCCUGUCUGCAUGGAUGCAGGACGAGCACCCUGGUGAGCACGACCUUCUCAUGUGCCCUACAGUGGUGUCACAUAGGUCAAGCCACGGGGUAAGCAAGCGUGGGGGUUAUGAUAGGUUUUAGGAUUUUCAAACAAAAUGCAAAAUGCUUUAGAUUUGCAUGCAGUCGGGUUGAUAUGCUGCAACAUGGAGCAAAUCACUCAGCUCUCUUUCAUGUCCCGUCUUGCACAAUUCAAGCUUUCUGGGCAGAGACACCCAGAAUGUUGUACCGAUCUUGUAGGACUUGUCACUCCGAGAUGUCACUCACUUGCAGCUGCGUGGGUGGCUGCUUGUGUAGGGCAGGCGGAGAGACUGUGGAGCCACAGGUGUGAAUCCAAUGAUCUGUAGUCACCAAAGCAGAAAAGUUAGCAGAAGGCAGACACUGAGCCAGAAGUAGCAACAAUGCAAAAAUACAUUCAGAGAGAGCGACAGCAAAAGGAGAGGGAGAAAGAAGAUGAGGCGUCGGAUGGCACAGUGAAGGUAGCAGCGGUGAUGGCUCCUCCUGGUGUGCUCAGCAGGACCAGUCAUGGACACACCUUUACCUCUCUGUACCAUGACCGUGAACAAAGAUGCCACUGACAGUACCAAUUCAUUGAGCUAGCAGGAGGAUCUGGGAUGGAAAAGCGCACUCAUUCCCACAAGCCCCCUCCAGUACCGGCUGUCGCUGGCAAUGGGCUGCUACAUGUAGGCUGCAGGUGUCUGCCCUCUAUGAAGUGGAUGGAAAGCAGGGGACUCAGGCUGGGGUCUGGAUGGUGAUGUGCUGCUGCUGCAGGGCAAUAUGGAUGUGCUGCCUGUGGGCAUAUUUAUGUUCCAGCCUCCCUGGCUUAUCUCCACAAAGAGUGCACACAGUUGGUGUGAGAGGGACAGGGAAUGAUGGUGGUAUAAAUCUCAUCUGGCACAGAACUCUCGGGUAUCAUUUAAAAGGGUAAGCUGGAUUAUAUCUCUUAAUAAACUCGAUGGGACUCUCCCGUAAGGCUGGGGUGCUUUGCUCACACACAGGUGAUGCCGUGAACUCUGGCAGAUGAAUACCUGCCACAGCAUCUUCUGUGGCAACGCUCAGUUGUUCUCUGUAGCCUUCUAGACUUCAGAUUCUUAAAGAUAAGCUGAUGAGCAUUGGCUUUAUCGCUUCUACAUUUGUGAAGUAGGGUUCACUUACAAUUCACUGUAUUGAAGAUGUUCUCAGUAAGAGCACCUGUUUGUUUUUGGCCAGAAGACAAAUAAACAAACCUCUCUGCAC